CUACUUGGAUAACUGUGGUAAUUCUAGAGCUAAUACAUGCACAAAAGCCCUGACCUCGCAGGAGGGGCGCAUUUAUUAGAGCAAAACCAGGCGACCUUGGUCGUUGUUGCUGACUCAGAAUAACUCAGCUGAUCGCACGGUCUCGUACCGGCGACGUGUCUUUUGAGUAUCUGCCUUAUCAAUUUUCGAUGGUAGUGUAUUUGACUACCAUGGUUUUGACGGGUAACGGAGAAUCAGGGUUCGACUCCGGAGAAGGGGCCCGAGAAAUGGCCACUACGUCUAAGGAUGGCAGCAGGCGCGCAAAUUACCCACUCUCGGAAUGAGGAGGUAGUGACGAGAAAUAACGAGACCGUUCUCUAUGAGGCCGGUCAUCGGAAUGGGUACAAUCUAAACCCUUUAACGAGUAUCUAUGAGAGGGCAAGUCUGGUGCCAGCAGCCGCGGUAAUUCCAGCUCUCAAAGUGCAUAGAACCAUUGUUGCGGUUAAAAAGCUCGUAGUUGAAUCUAGGUCUGAGGCCUGGUCCACACACUGUGUGCGCACUAGGUUCUUUGGCUUUGACGUCGGUUUGCUUGUCGUCGCCUUUACCGGCGGCGGCCGGUGGCUGGCAAUUUUACUUUGAACAAAUCAAAGUGCUCAAAACAGGCGUUUCGCUUGUAUGCUUUUGCAUGGAAUAAUAGAAUAUGACUUCGGUCUGGUUUUAUUGGUUUUAUAGAUCGUUGUAAUGAUUAACAGGGUCAAGCGGGGGCAUUCGUAUUGUUGCGUGAGAGGUGAAAU
rnacentral:rRNA from 1 species